CCUACGGGUGGCAGCAGUGGGGAAUAUUGGGCAAUGGGCGCAAGCCUGACCCAGCAACGCCGCGUGAAGGAAGAAGGCUUUCUGGUUGUAAACUUCUUUUAAGAGGGAAGCGCAGAAGACGGUACCUCUUGAAUAAGCCACGGCUAACUACGUGCCAGCAGCCGCGGUAAUACGUAGGUGACAAGCGGUGUCCGGAUUUACUGGGUGUAAAGGGCGUGUAGCCGGGCUGACAAGUCAGAUGUGAAAUCCCGUGGAUCAACCACGGAACUGCAUUUGAAACUGUCGGUCGUGAGUAUCGGAGAGGCAGGCGGAAUUCCUAGGGUAGCGGUGAAAUGCGUAGAUAUUAGGAGGAACACCAGUGGCGAAGGCGGCCUGCUGGACGACAACUGACGGUGAGGCGCGAAAGCGUGGGGAGCAAACAGGAUUAGAUACCCCUGUAGUC
rnacentral:rRNA from 1 species